UUCUCAAGUUGGCUCCUGCACACUUCUCUAGACAGAGAAGUUAAGUUACCCCCUCAAAGUCACAGGGCAAGUACAUGGUAGAGCAGAAUUUGGAAGAGGGCAGACUGGCUCUCAAAUCAUUACCCUUAACCACCACAAAGCAUAGCCAGAAUCAACCAGAAGGGCCCCCUCUGAUUAGCAGGUUGCUUGGAAUUUUUAUCUUAAUUAAUUAGGUAAUUUCACAGAUAGUCACAAUGGUAUUUGUUGGCAAAGAUGAAAUAACAUGUCUUGAUCAUUUUUGCCUUCCCUAUACCUAAGAAAGUACCUGCAUGCUUUGGGUAUUCCCAGCUGUUAGUGAAAUUUUCCUGACUAGAAUAGAAGGAACAUGGGUUAAUCUUCUGUGAAUUCCUCAGAACUGGGAGUCAGUAUCCUGGAGAUGAGGUGAAAAGUGGAGGCAGGAGAUGCAGGGCAUCCUUUGCAGAUCAGUGUGCACAGCUGUCUGGUAUAACACCAAAAUGCAGGAUGUCUCACUGUUUUGCAACAAGAUCAAGGUUUGGUGUGCAGUUUCAUUGCCUUCAAAAUGAAAACUGGAAGACUCUGCCAUGAGACAUCAAUUUGAGUGACCUGAGAGAUGGAGAAGGACAGUUGAGGAAAAGGAGGGGAAAGUCAUUUUCCGCAGCAGAGGACUACCAUCUGUUUGACAAAGCUCAAGUUUGAUCUCCACAUGUCUACCCUGGGCCAACACACACAGAUCAAUCCCACCUCUGUGACAUGAGGAAGAAACAGAACCUUGCAACUUAGCAAAGAAAAGGUCUGAAUGAUGUGGCCAUUGCAGGGUGAACUCUGUCAGACUGAACUACGAACUUGUGAAUAAAAUCCAAUCACUGUAAAUUAGUGGGAGCUGUGUGCAUCUAUCAUUUCUACCACCUGC